UACGUAGGGUGCGAGCGUUAAUCGGAAUUACUGGGCGUAAAGCGUGCGUAGGUGGCGUGUUAAGUGUGAUGUUAAAUCGCGGGGCUCAACCCUGUCGGUGCAUCGCAUACUGGCAUGCUAGAGGGAAGCAGAGGCAAGUGGAAUUUGUAGUGUAGCAGUGAAAUGCGUAGAUAUUACAAGGAACACCAAUGGCGAAGGCAGCUUGCUGGGCUUCUUCUGACACUGAGGUACGAAAGCGUGGGGAGCGAACAGG
rnacentral:rRNA from 1 species